rnacentral:rRNA from 1 species
AUUGACCGCUGGCGGCAGGCCUAACACAUGCAAGUCGAGCGAGCGGCGGACGGGUGAGUACUGUCUGGGAAACUGCCUGAUGGCGGGGGAUAACUACUGGAAACGGUAGCUAAUACCGCAUACCAUCAGAUGUGCCCAGAUGGGAUUAGCUAGUAGGUGGGGUAACGGCUCACCUAGGCGACGAUCCCUAGCUGGUUUGAGAGGAUGACCAGCCACACUGGAACUGUGACACGGUCCAGACUCCUACGGGAGGCAGCAGUAGGGAAUAUUGCACAAUGGGAGCAAGCCUGAUACAGCCAUGCCGCGUGGGUGAAGAAGGCCUUCGGGUUGUAAAGCACUUUCAGCGGGGAGGCGUUACCCACAGAAGAAGCACCGGCUAACUCCGUGCCAGCAGCCGCGGUAAUUC